AAACAAAAAGUGCAUUAUAUGCACCACUUG
rnacentral:tRNA from 1 species